GGCAGCAGCUAAGAAUAUUCCGCAAUGAUCGAAAGACUGACGGAGCGACGCCGCGUGAAUGAUGAAGGCCGUGAGGUUGUAAAGUUCUUUUCUGGAGGGAGAAUAAGUGCAUCAGGGAAUGGGUGCAUGAUGACGUGAAUCCAGGAAUAAGCCCCGGCUAACUACGUGCCAGCAGCCGCGGUAACACGUAGGGGGCAAGCGUUGUUCGGAAUUAUUGGGCGUAAAGGGCGCGCAGGCGGCCUGGCAAGUCUGCUGUUAAAUGGUUGAGCUUAACUCAAUCAUGCGGUGGAAACUACAAGGCUAGAAUCAACGAGGGGAUGCCGGAAUUCCAGGUGUAGGGGUGAAAUCUGUAGAUAUCUGGAAGAACACCAAUGGCGAAGGCAGGCAUCUGGCGACUGAUUGACGCUGAGGCGCGAAGGUGCGGGGAGCAAACAGGUUUAGAUAUCCUGGUAGUCCGCACAGUAAACGAUGUGCACCAGGUGGCGGGUAGCAGUACUCGGUACCGAAGCAAACGCAUUAAGUGCACCGCCUGGGGAGUAUGCUCGCAAGGGUGAAACUCAAAGGAAUUGACGG
rnacentral:rRNA from 1 species